AUGCAGGAGGAGACUGUUACACCACUAGAAGAAGAAAUAGAAGGGAAUUCUGGUCACCACCAUGAGCUGUGUGCACCUAUGCCAGGUGACUCCAAUGUACAACCAAGAUGGAGACACAUUGGACUUCAAGUUUCUUCCUUAGCUUUGACAAGAGUCUCAUUGUUUAACCGAGGUGAAUAUAUUCAAUGCAUUCAUUUUGUGAGAAACCUUCCCUCCCCCAGAACAUUUUUCUCUGCUGGCAACCUUCCUGGAAGCUGGAGAAUUCACAAGAGCUAG
rnacentral:lncRNA from 1 species